CAAUUUCUGUCUAAAGUCGCCUAGAUCCUGGUAACCCUUUAUGGAAACGACAAUUUGCCUGGUAAGAGGAAGACGAAGGAAGAUGCUGGGGGUGGUAACCCUACGGCGCGAAGCAGGAAGACAUCGUUAGAGAGAAAGAAAAAGAACUAUCCACCCAAUCUUUCCAAUGAAAAUUCGUCGGGACAGGUCGAUUCAGUGACCAGGGGACGCCAACGUUAUGAACAUGAACGCAAUCGUUAUGAUAACGGUCAUAGCGGUUACGAUACAUCGGGUAUCCGUGAGUAUUGAAGUGGCAUUGCUGUUAGCAGAUGUCUGACGGAACUCGACUUAAAGGAUAUAAUUGACGUCAUUAAAAUUGGUUAUGGUAGAUGCAGACUCAAGAUUCCUGUUAGACACUACAUCUCCUUUUCCUAAAGUUACUGGCGUUAUAGAUAUAUUCAUUUCGCUAAGCAUUACAAGCAGACUUUUAAAUUGUAUCGAUCAUGUUUCAGUCAACAUGGAGGAGAGGAGUCCUGUGCGGUAAUUUCAUGCAGAAACUGCAAGGGGUUCAUGCCCCUACUGACAAAAAAUGUCCUGCGCGUGAGAAGGAUUUUGCAUUAAGAAGAUUAUGACCUUGGAGAAGGAUGCGAUUCCAUUAAAUCUUUUCGAAUCGUGUUGCUGACUUGAAGAAUGUUUCCAAUUUUCACCCUCUUAGGGUGAAUAGACCAGUUAGGAACAUUUAGAGUUCUACGGAAUUCUUAUUGAAGAUAAAUGAGAUACACUUGGAUAAGGAAUCUGAGGAAUAUUGUUGUAAACCACAUGGCGGCGGAACUUCCGGUGAAAUACAGGCUACGGUUAGAAAACUUGCUAAGGCUAUUGAAUACGAUCUACCUUUCGCAAGGGAUUUGGCGAGGACCAUUGAUACUAGUUGCUCUCAUACCCUCGCUUCGAGGACAUUUUCAAGGAGAUGGGAAAAUUGGUAAAAAAAUAUCGGCGAAUCAGGAGAUCAUAAAAGCAUUGACUUAGCAACGACGGUUACAAGUUAAUUUACACUGAUGGAUCGGUAUCUAAUGAUUCAACGGACUUUGCUUUUUAUUUUGCCAGAAUCGAUUAUGUGGCUAUGUUUUGUACGGACAAGACCCUGUUGCAUUUCCGAACAAGCCUUCAUAGACAAAGUUUA